UGUAACUUUAUUUAGUUUUAAUGGUCUCGUCGCAGAUAUAUUUAGGUUUUGCUAAGGGGGGAAUCUUGGGUGCAUAGAUUGGCAAUAAUAUCUGCCUGAUCCCUGGCUGUGCUUGUUGAAUUAAAUAUUAUUUUGUAAGAUUUAUCCCACAGAGUCAUGGCAAUGACAGAAGCAGGAUUGUACAACUAUUGGUAUGCAAAUUCCUUUAAAACAAUACCAAAUGUCUUAAACGUCCAUCAAAAGUAUCUGUCAGCACUUCACUCUCCGUGUCCAACUUGUGGGGAAUGUUCGUGGUUCUCCUGGGCGGGUAUGUAAUCAGCUCAUUGACGUUGUGUCUGGAGAUUCUUCUCGACACUCGUCUGCGACACUAAAAUAAAGAGAAGCUUUGUAGCAGCAAUAUCA